UUACUUUCACUCACUGCCUGUCCUUCCUGACACCUCACCAUGUGUACGGGAAAAUGUGCCCGCUGUGUGGGGCUCUCCCUCAUUACCCUCUGCCUGGUCUGCAUCGUGGCCAACGCCCUCCUGCUGGUACCUAAUGGGGAGACCUCCUGGACCAACACCAACCAUCUCAGCUUGCAAGUCUGGCUCAUGGGCGGCUUCCUCGGCGGGGGCCUAAUGGUACUGUGUCCAGGAAUUGCAGCUGUUCGGGCAGGGGGCAAGGGCUGCUGUGGUGCUGGGUGCUGUGGAAACCGCUGCAGGAUGCUGCGCUCGGUCUUCUCCUCGGCGUUCGGGGUGCUUGGUGCCAUCUACUGCCUCUCGGUGUCUGGAGCUGGGCUCCGAAAUGGACCCAGAUGCUUAAUGAACGGCGAGUGGGGCUACCACUUCGAAGACACCGCGUAAGGUUUAGCCUGUAUUCGUGUCCUCCAUUCUCUGCCUCUUCCCUCCCGCCCUUCCCCCGUGGACUGGGACACCUGGGCGGGACUCGACUUCGAGAGCACUCGCUCCACGUGGGCUACCUGGGCCUUUGCAAAUCCCCUAGGACGUAUUCUUGGGGGCGGGGGUGGCGCACGCGCAGGCCGCCUUCUCCCACGUGGCCUUACCCCUCCCACAGGGGAGCUUACUUGCUCAACCGCACUCUAUGGGAUCGGUGCGAGGCGCCCCCUCGCGUGGUCCCCUGGAAUGUGACGCUCUUCUCGCUGCUGGUGGCCGCCUCCUGCCUGGAGAUGGUAUUGUGUGGGAUCCAGCUGGUGAACGCGACCAUUGGUGUCUUCUGUGGCGAUUGCAGGAAAAAACAGGUGAAAUGGCGUGCGGUGGAGUUGUAGAGGGAACCUGCCUGGUCCUGGCUGCGUUCUCACCUUCUCUUUUCUGCAGGACGCCCCUCACUGAGGCUCCACUGACCGCCGGGUUACACCUGCUCCUUCCUGGACGCCUGCCUGGCUCACUCACUCCCUUGCUCACUAGAAUAAACUGCUUUGAGCUCUCUU
rnacentral:sRNA from 1 species